rnacentral:tRNA from 1 species
UCCCUGGUGGCUUAGAUGGUAAAGAGUCUGUCUGCAAUGCAGGAGACCUAGGUUUGAUCCCUGGGUCGGGAA